rnacentral:rRNA from 1 species
AGAGGAAGUAAAAGUCGUAACAAGGUUUCCGUAGGUGAACCUGCGGAAGGAUCAUUACCGAGUGAGGGCCCUUUGGGUCCAACCUCCCACCCGUGUUUAUUUACCUCGUUGCUUCGGCGGGCCCGCCUUAACUGGCCGCCGGGGGGCUCACGCCCCCGGGCCCGCGCCCGCCGAAGACACCCCCGAACUCUGCCUGAAGAUUGUCGUCUGAGUGAAAAUAUAAAUUAUUUAAAACUUUCAACAACGGAUCUCUUGGUUCCGGCAUCGAUGAAGAACGCAGCGAAAUGCGAUACGUAAUGUGAAUUGCAAAUUCAGUGAAUCAUCGAGUCUUUGAACGCACAUUGCGCCCCCUGGUAUUCCGGGGGGCAUGCCUGUCCGAGCGUCAUUGCUGCCCUCAAGCCCGGCUUGUGUGUUGGGCCCCGUCCUCCGAUUCCGGGGGACGGGCCCGAAAGGCAGCGGCGGCACCGCGUCCGGUCCUCGAGCGUAUGGGGCUUUGUCACCCGCUCUGUAGGCCCGGCCGGCGCUUGCCGAUCAACCCAAAUUUUUAUCCAGGUUGACCUCGGAUCAGGUAGGGAUACCCGCUGAACUUAAGCAU